rnacentral:rRNA from 1 species
AUUGAACGCUGGCGGCAUGCCUUACACAUGCAGGUCGAACGGUAACAGGUCUUCGGAUGCUGACGAGUGGCGAACGGGUGAGUAAUACAUCGGAACGUGCCUAGUAGUGGGGGAUAACUACUCGAAAGAGUGGCUAAUACCGCAUGAGAUCUACGGAUGAAAGCAGGGGAUCGCAAGACCUUGUGCUACUAGAGCGGCCGAUGGCAGAUUGGGUAGUUGGUGGGAUAAAAGCUUACCAAGCCGACGAUCUGUAGCUGGUCUGAGAGGACGAUCAGCCACAGUGGGACUUAGACAGCGCCCAGACUCCUACGGGAGGCAGCAGUGUGGAAUUUUGAACAAUGGGCUCAAGCCUGUUCCAGCAAUGCCGCGUGCAGGAUGACGUCCUUCGGGUUGUAAACUGCUUUUGUACGGAACGAAAAGCCCUGGGUUAAUACCCUGGGGUCAUGACGGUACCGUAAGAAUAAGCACCGGCUAACUACGUGCCAGCAGCCGCCGUAA